AUGUUAUUCAGUAACACUUAUAAUAUUUUCAAGUCCUUUGGCAUGGUUCAAAGUGAAAUCAAGAAAGAGUUUCAAGAAAGAGUCUUGGACCAUUUUCUAUAUCUCUCAAAAAAUAAUCAUUUGUCCCGUCAACUUGUCCGACGAAGUGUUUCUCAUAAUCAUUCCCUAGUGGCGAUUGCAUUGUAUUUUCGUUAUUUGUUAAUUGCGCUACAUCUGCUCAAAGGACCAUCUGGAAAUUUUGCAAUGAGAAUCAGGCCUCUCGAUACAUUCCUGCUGCUCAGAUUUUUCUUCCAAAAGGACUAUAAGGAAUUCUAUAAUGUUCAAAGACAACUUGCCAUAAGGUUUUAG